CUUGAUUAUUAUGGUUCAUUGUAAUUUCUGUAAUCAAAUCAAAAAAUCCCAAUCCAUUUGGGUUUUUUGUUGUUGGCCUUUCCAAUUUGUAGAUCAGUAUAAAUUGAUGAAGAUUAGAUGAUGCGAGGAUCUUUAGCUGAAACAGAGGCGAAGAAUGAUGUAGCUGAGCUCAAGCUUCAAUGGCAGAAUCUAAAUCUUCUCUGUUCUUUCUCUUCCUUUUUGGGUUUCUUACAGUUUGUAGAGGUCGAUUUCCGCCAUUGAUGGACGGGAAGAACAUGGAGAAGGACGAUAAUCAGCCAUUUGUUGGGGUUAAUAUUGGGAGUGACGUUUCGAAUCUAAUGUCGCCUUCAGACUUGGUUUCGUUCUUGCAUUUUCAGAAAAUCACUCAUAUUAGGCUUUACGAUGCGAAUCCUGAUAUCCUCAAAGCCCUAAAUGGGUCGAAAAUUCGUGUCAUUAUCAGUGUACCCAACAAUCAGCUUCUUGCAAUUGGAUCUUCCAAUGCUACCGCCGCCGCGUGGAUCGCCCGGAAUGUGGUGGCGUACUAUCCCCAGACCCUAAUUUCCGGCAUUUCCGUCGGCGAUGAGGUUUUAACCACUAUCCCCUCUGUUUCCCCUUUGUUACUUCCUGCUAUUGAAUCCCUUUACAGUGGUUUAGUUUCUGCAAAUCUUCAAACCCAAAUCACCAUUUCUACUCCCCAUGCUGCUUCGAUUAUCCUCGACCCAUUUCCGCCGUCGCAGGCUUUCUUCAACCAGAGCUUGGUUCAGUUCAUGCUUCCUCUGCUUCGGUUCCUUUCAAGAACUGGGUCGCCAUUGAUGAUGAACCUUUACCCUUAUUAUGUUUUUAUGCAAAACAAAGGGGUUGUUCCUCUUGAUAAUGCGCUGUUUAAGCCCUUGAUUCCUUCUAAAGAAAUGGUCGAUCCCAAUACUCUGCUUCACUACACUAAUGUUCUUGACGCCAUGAUUGAUUCUGCUUAUUUCUCGAUGAAGAAUCUCAAUAUCACUGAUGUUGUAGUUCUUGUCACUGAAAGUGGGUGGCCUUCAAAGGGCGAUUCGAAAGAGCCAUACGCCACAAUCGACAACGCCGACACGUUCAAUUCGAAUCUAAUCAAGCAUAUUCUCGACCGGAGUGGUUCCCCAUUUCACCCUGAAAUCACUUCCAGUGUUUACAUCUACGAGCUGUUCAAUGAGGAUUUACGGUCGCCGCCGGUGUCGGAGGCGAAUUGGGGGCUGUUUUAUGGAAACUCCACGCCGGUUUAUUUGCUUCAUGUGUCGGGAAGUGGGACGUUUUUGGCUAAUGAUACGACGAACCAGACGUAUUGUAUUGCCAUGGAUGAGUUUGAUACUAAGACAUUGCAGACAGCUUUAGAUUGGGCUUGUGGACCUGGGAAAGCUAAUUGUACAGAGAUUCAGCCUGGUGAAGCUUGUUAUCAGCCUAACAAUGUGAAGAACCAUGCUUCUUAUGCAUUUGAUAGCUAUUACCAGAAGGAAGGGAAAAGUGCUGGAUCUUGUGAUUUCAAGGGCGUGGCUAUGAUCACCACCACUGACCCAAGCCAUGGGAGCUGCAUAUUUCCAGGAAGUAAGAAAGUAGGCAAUAAAGCUAAAGAGACAGGGAAGAACACAACACAAAUCCCUGAAGCCAGUGGAGGAAGAGCAGCAGCAGCAGCAGCUCAGAAGGGACUCCAUGUUUUUCUGCUUGCACUUUGCUCAUUCUUUCUGUUCAUUCCUUUGAUGGCUCCAUGGUGAGGAGGCUGAUGUAGAAAAUUAAAGAGUUUAUUUAUAUAUAUAAUAUAUAUAUAUUUUUUUUGGUAGUAAAGGGCUUUUUGUUGAAUAUGGCCUAAAGUUCAAAUAUGCAUAUCUUAAAGGGAAUGAAGAGCUAAGUUUGCACA